CUCACUACUGCACUUGACUAGUCU
rnacentral:piRNA from 4 species